rnacentral:rRNA from 1 species
UACGUAGGGUGCGAGCGUUGUCCGGAAUUAUUGGGCGUACAGAGCUUGUAGGCGGUUUGUCGCGUCUGCUGUGAAAUCUCAAGGCUCAACCUUGAGCUUGCAGUGGGUACGGGCAGACUAGAGUGUGGUAGGGGAGACUGGAAUUCCUGGUGUAGCGGUGAAAUGCGCAGAUAUCAGGAGGAACACCGAUGGCGAAGGCAGGUCUCUGGGCCACUACUGACGCUGAGAAGCGAAAGCAUGGGGAGCGAACAGG